UGGGCAACCUGCCCCUCUCUCUGGGAUAACCCCGGGAAACCGGAGCUAAUACCGGAUACUCCGGCUGGAUCGCAUGGUCCGGCCGGGAAAGGUCCGCCGGAGAGGGAUGGGCCCGCGGCCUAUCAGCUUGUUGGUGAGGUAACGGCUCACCAAGGCGACGACGGGUAGCUGGUCUGAGAGGACGACCAGCCACACUGGAACUGAGAUACGGUCCAGACUCCGUACGGGAGGCA
rnacentral:rRNA from 1 species